rnacentral:misc_RNA from 1 species
GAUGAAGAACGUAGCGAAAUGCGAUAAGUAGUGUGAAUCGCAGAAUUCAGUGAAUCAUCGAAUCUUUGAACGCACAUUGCGCCCCCUGGUAUUCCGGGGGGCAUGCCUGUCCGAGCGUCAUUGCUGCCCUCAAGCACGGCUUGUGUGUUGGGCCUCCGUCCUCCUCCCGGGGGACGGGCCCGAAAGGCAGCGGCGGCACCGCGUCCGGUCCUCGAGCGUAUGGGGCUUCGUCACCCGCUCUUGUAGGCCCGGCCGGCGCUUGCCGACACAUCAAUCUUUUUUCCAGGUUGACCUCGGAUCAGGUAGGGAUACCCGCUGAACUUAAGCAUAUCAAUAAGCGGAGGA